UCUGAUCUGCUUGGAAGAUGGGGCUAAGCCUCGUAGUUAAGAUCAUCGUUUGUCGUUCCCGCCCAGCGUGUCGUCCUCUGGCUCCAUUCCUUCUUUCUUUGUUAUAUAAGGCAAGGUUACUGGAGAAGUUCUUCAGGCUGGAGAAGCUGUAACUGCAGCUUUUUUUUUUUUUUCUUUCUUUCUUUUCAUUAAAGGCAGAACUAAAACCGAGGUGAGUCGUUUAAAAUGAGACACUUAGCAUCUCUUGCCUGGUGGGGUGCCCAGGUUGUGUUUUAUUUCACAGAUGCCUAAUUAACCCCUGUUUAUCAAAGCCAGAGGAUAUCAGGUAAAAUGCAGCCGCAUGAAACCGAUCCUUGGAGGGAUCUAUGUUGUAAAGUGUGAAAUCAGUCGCUGAUGGACUACUUUUGUGGUCACCUUAAGACUUUAGCAUCUUGGAAAAGUUGGCCCCAGAAGGGGGUACUUUUCUUGAUGAAGCUACAGGAAUUGGAAAUAGUUCACUGAAACCUUUGUGGGUUAAAGAUAUAAAGGACUGUGGCGAAGUCCCAGUGGUAUGAAGGGACGCGCUUCUGUGUUGUCCAAACUGGAUUUCCCUGCAGUGAUUUGUAAAAGCCGAAUCGCUAAGGGCGGCGGGUCCCUCUGAUGAGUACGGGCCACCAGAGAGGCCAGCCCUGGCAGUGUGCACUGCCAAUGGGGCGUGAAGCAGACACAUCUCCAGGCUUUUGUUCCCUAAGCAGACCAGCUUGGGCAGGAAAUUCAUCUGAGACUGCUCUAAAUUAGAAACUACAAACUUAUGAAUGGUCCGUCUGCUCACAGGCCAGAGCCGUUGAAUCUCUUGAGUCCUUUAACAUUUUUCUAAUUGCAUCAAUGCGUCCAAAAACAAAAUUUUUUUUUUUUUUUGGCCGUUGAUUUUAGAAGAAAUAAUUAAGCGGGAUGAGCCACAUAAAUGAUGGCUUUACCUAGUUCCUCCUUUAACUCUAAAUUGCUGGAGGAAUUAAUAAAAGCUCACAAAAUCUAUUAGUCUAAAAAUCCAUUACGAGUGGCAUAAGAAAGGCAGGCAGCAAUUGUUAAAAAAUGACUGUAAACUGGAAGGAAACUGGUCUCUCUGAGGAGCCGGCACAGUAUACAGUGUCGCGUACCUCGCCUCCAUCUCCCAGUCACUGGCAUUAGAGGAAUAAGAAUCAGGGUGUGCAAUCCCCAUAGGUUCCAGCCCUGAUUUCUGAACUAUUUCACUUGGUCUUCACAGCAACCUUCAUGGGUAGCUAUUACGAUUCCAUUUUGUAGAUGAGCAAACUGAGGAUCAGAGAAGUCUGACCUGCCCCAGAUCACACAGACAAAGGUAGACUUACUAUAAAGUAAAUGAACAUCAGGGCCCCCACUUGCAAGGGCCCCAAGAGGGUGGUAGUCACAUUGUUAGGGGGUCAGGACCCCAGUGGGGUGGGGUGGAAACAGAUUGUAAUCAGUGAGCAUCUCUGCAUAAAUGUUUCUGAUAAAUUGUCUAAAGAGAUCUCAGAAGGCAAGAUUGAAAUCUCUGGAAAUGUGUUGUGAUUUCCUUCUUCAUUUCAAAGAAAUAUUCAAUUCUGCUCUCAAGUUUGUGUUCUUAAAGAGAAGCCCCUAAGCUUUGGGCCCCUUAAGACCUACAUCUGCCUUUGAAGAUAGGCGAUGAGAGGUAGAACUAUGUUUUGAACUUCUGAUUCCAAAGCCUGUUCUAUUUUCAGACCAUGUAGAAACAGAGAAGUAUAAACAGAACAUCAAGUUAAAAAAAAAAAAAAGCUGGAUAUGAGAAUUGUAAUUGUAAUAAUGUAAAGCUUUUGCUCUUAUCCAAGCCCCCAUCUUUGGGCUUGGAAGUCCUGUGCUCUGGGUCCACAGCUCAUCUUCCUCCACAUCACAUUCAUGUCUGCUCCCUCCCAGGACCCAGGAAGGGCAACACACCAGCGCGUGGUUGAUAAACAUCAGUUAGCUCGUAUAAAGUAGUAAAUGUAAUUUAUACUUUCAUAUUGGUUUACUGUUCACUUUCUAAAGGAGAAAGUGCAUGAUGUCACCAGGGAGACACAUAAAUAAAUGAUGACAUCUAUACUUCCUGUAGAUCUUGUGGGAACUUAUUUGUGAUUUUGAGUCUUUUAAUCAGUCUCUUUUGCUGUUACUCUUCACGAUGUAGUGAUAAAGGCUUGCUGAUGGAGAAAGAGUGGCAAAGGGAAGUAUUUCCCUAGGCCAUGAUACAAAUGAAGGAGAUGGGGACGUACAGGCAAACACAUAACCGUGCCAACUGAUCUGUAAAGUGUCCAUCGAUGUCACCCACCUCAAGCAGCUGCUAUACAUCCUAGAAGUAACUCAUCUCCCCUUGCCACACCUACCAUGCUGCCUGCAUUGGUGCUCACCUAAGCUCUGCUUUCUUUCUCCAUGUGGGGGGCGGGCUGUCCUAGGAGCUGAAUAGCCACCCUAGCUGGCUGCGCUUGCAGAUCCUUCUCUGCCCAUCAUCUCUGGCUGCUGGAUCACUGACUUCCUGGUUAACCUGAUCAUUAUCAUCAUCCUACAACAAUGUUGAAAUAUUUCCAUGUCUGAGAAAACACGGCCCUCCACAUCUCCCAUUUCUUUGCAGAACUCCAGUUCCACGCUCUCCCUCUUAUCCGACAAAUCUUCACCUCGCCCCAUUUGCUGUCCUAGUCUUAUUCUUCUGACCUCUUAAGGACACGUGACAGAGCCUGAGCCAGUUCUUUCUCUCGGCCUCUGGGAUCCUUCUGGUUUUUCUCCCUUCUUACUGGCUUCUCCUCGGAUUGCUUUCCUGUCUCCUCCUUUAUCCAAUUUCUAAAUACUGGAGUUCCCAGGCCUCAGCCCGGGACUCCCUUCUCUUCUGUACUUUCUCCUCCUCUAGUUCAUGGCUUUAAAUAGUAUCUAUAAGUAAAUGAGAAAGUUGUCUCCAGCAUCCAUUAAAAACAAAAUUUUUUUUUCUAUACAGUUAUAGAAAAAUGUGUGAAAAUCAGAAAAUAUGAUCAAAAAUAGGAAGAUAAAAUCAGCCAUAAACUCAAUAUCCAGAAAUAAUGAGUUAACAUCUUGGUAUACAUACUUUUUCUAUGUACAUGUAUAUAAAUGUAUGUAUAAAUGUAUAUAUUUUAUAUAGCAAAGUAGAAUCACAUUAUAUAUAUUACUUGGAAACUUGCUAUUUAAGAAUGUUUUUGUGGAUAGCCUUUGAUGCCAAAAGACACAGGUCUCCAGCAUUGUCUUCAGUCGCUACGCGGUUGUGUGUUUUUUUCUUUUUUUUUUUUUAAUAGUAUGGCUAUUUCCAUGAUCGAGGUAAUCUGGAGUUGUUUCCAGUUCUCUGCUGUUGUGCAGAAAGGUGGUGCUGCGGCUCCUUAGCAGUCUGGGCCCGGGUCCUUCCUUGUGAAUUGCAGUCCAGGCCGCUGGAAACUGCUGAGUCAGAGGCGCGUGCACGUGUGAAUCAUGAGUGCCGGCGCCUGGUCUAAGCGUCCCUGCAGAGGCCCCUGUUGUGCCUCUAGACACGGUGUCUAGACCACAGUGGUGUCCAGCACGCCCGCACACCUAUCACUUAAGCAGAGAGCUGUGUCUGCAGCCCAGAUGUGCUGGCAAAGGCCUGGGGGGAGGAUGAGAGGACAAGCAGACCAGGUGAGGGCCGGACAGGACCCUACUGGGGAGGGGAGGCGGGGCGGAGGGGGCCAAGAGAGGACACGCAUGGGGGCUCCCAAACCCUUCCCACACUUUGCUCAGGGCGAGCCCACCUUCCCACCUAACCCUGCAUUUCUCAGAAAUAAUCCUUAUCCACUGUGAGCACUUCAUGGGGAGGGACUGUAGCCCCCGCAUACAGUGAUUCUCCACAAGGACGCAGAGGACGGAGAAUCCCUCCUUCUCACCUCCUCUGGGAAGCCACCGAGCGUGUCUCACUGAGUUCCCACCGCAGAAGUGACUUCACACCAACUUCUGUGUACUUUGGCCUCGGCCAAGCAGAGUCAGUUCCGUUUUCUUAGUUUAAAAUUGUCUUCUAGACAGUUUAAAAAUUCCAUUACAUUUCUGUUUUUCUGAGUGAAAACAGGCUCUCAGAACACUCACUGGACUGGGGGUUCGGUUCAUGGGUGGAGAUGUCCAAGCUGGGUCCCGUAGGUGGGCUGCCUGCCUCUGCUGUCAGAGGUGCUGCCACCCCUGCGCCUCCUGGGAGGCCCCUCCUAUGGUCCAGAAUGAGGCUGGAGCUGGCUGUUCCUGCACACAAAACAGCCUUGUGGACAAGGUUCACAGACAAGCCCUUGCUUCCAACAAGGGUGGGAGGAUGUGAGGGAUCCCUGGAGUAGGCAGUGACAACCCACUGCAGUAUUCUUGCCUGGAAAAUCCCAUGGACAUAGGAGCCUGGCAUGCUGCAGUCCAUGGAGUCGCAAAGAGUCUGACAUGAAUGAGCGACUAAGCACUUUAGCUCUUACAUUUGAUGUAUAUUUAAAAAUUCUCUCCUCUGGCUUGGCCGAGAGCAGCUGGACAAGUCAUUCAGCCUUCCCACUAAGUAAGGGGAUUGGCAAGAUGGAGUCUUCAGUUCUAUCCAGUCCCCAAGUUUUGUGAUGCUGUUAGGAGAAAGAAGAAACAGCUGGCUUAGAGGAACUAGGUUCACAGAAAAAAAAAAAAAAAACAACCCAAACCUGAGCAUUUCUUCUUAGAACAACAAGUACUCAGAAACAAGUACCGGUGAAAGCAGAUUGCUGUCAAGUGGGGCUUCUUAUCUGAUCAGCCUCUCCUUUCUGAUGGUAAACAUGUCCAAUGAUAAUAAUUCUAACCUCAGACUUUGAUAAAUAGGUGGUUUAAAAACUUGUCAUCAGAGCACACCCAUGCUCCAUGCCAGUCUGCCUGGGCACUGGGACUGGUGCCGCUUCCCAAGCCACAGGUCAGGCCUCCAGGGGGCUGGAGUCUCAUCCAGCCCCAGGUAACUUUGAGAUGCUGAGCUUCUGUUAACUGUGUGGUUGGCAGGAAGGUGAGGGUAGUGCUGCUCUGGGGAGAUGGAAAGACAGAAAAGAAGAGGAUGAUAACUGUCUUCAGCUGGGAAUUUGGGAAGCAAUAGGAGUGUCUCAUAAAUUCUUCCUCCCUCCCCAGAAAAGAAUGCCUAGUAUAUAAAAUGUCCAAAGCACAAAUAGGGUCAUGUCAUUGCUCUUCUCAAAAAUUCUUGUUUGACUCCCUACUGCCCACAUUUGGGCAUUUGGGGCCAUUUAU
ensembl:lncRNA